rnacentral:snoRNA from 1 species
AACCCAUGAUGAGGGCACAUUUUCAAUAAAUCCUUAUACCUCUCCCAUGCAUCAUAUAACAUCUCUAAAUCGAUCUGCACAAAGAAAGAGAUGCCGUUCCUCAGCUU